GUGAGGAAUAUUGCGCAAUGGAGGCAACUCUGACGCAGCCAUGCCGCGUGCAGGAAGAAGGCGCUACGCGUUGUAAACUGCUUUUAACCGGGAAGAAACCCCAGGACGUGUCCUGGGUUGACGGUACCGGAGGAAUAAGCACCGGCUAACUUCGUGCCAGCAGCCGCGGUAAUACGAAGGGUGCAAGCGUUAUCCGGCUUCAUUGGGUUUAAAGGGUGCGUAGGCGGAGCGUUAAGUCAGUGGUGAAAUCCUGCAGCUUAACUGUAGACUUGCCAUUGAUACUGGCGCGCUUGAGUGCGCUUGAAGUGGGCGGAAUGUGCCGUGUAGCGGUGAAAUGCUUAGAUAUGGCACAGAACACCAAUUGCGAAGGCAGAUCACUAAGGCGAUAAUGACGCUGAGGCACGAAAGCGUGGGGAUCGAACAGGAUUAGAAACCCGAGUAGUCC
rnacentral:rRNA from 1 species